GGGGGGGGGGGGGGGGGGGGGUGGGGGGGGGGGGGCGGGGGGGGGCAGGGGGCGGGGUGCUGGCGAGUGGCGAGCGGGGGGGUAGUGCAUCGGAACGGGCCCAGGCGUGGGGGAUACCUACUCGAAAGAGUAGCUAAUACGGCAUACGAGCUAUGGCUGAACGCGGGGGACCGUAGGGCCUCGCGCGAUUGGAGCGGCCGAUGUCAGAUUAGGUAGUGGGUGGGGUAAAGGCUCACCAAGCCAACGAUCUGUAGAUGGUCUGAGAGGACGACCAGCCACACUGGGACUGAGACACGGCCCAGACUCCUACGGGAGGCAGCAGUGGGGAAUUUUGGACAAUGGGCGCAAGCCUGAUCCAGCAAUGCCGCGUGCAGGAAGAAGGCCUUCGGGUUGUAAACUGCUUUUGUACGGAACGAAACGGCUCUGGUUAAUACCCGGGGCUAAUGACGGUACCGUAAGAAUAAGCACCGGCUAACUACGUG
rnacentral:rRNA from 1 species